GUCUGCGGCCAUGCCACCCUGAACAAGCACGAUGUCUGAUCUCGGAAGCUAAGCAGUGUCGGGCCUGGUUAGUACUUGGGUAGGAGACCACCUUUGAAGACCAGGUGCUGUAGGCA
rnacentral:rRNA from 1 species